rnacentral:misc_RNA from 1 species
GAAAAAUGCCACCACAACUUCCAUGGCUUUUUCUGUUGAAACUUGAUCUCAGACGAACCUACUUUUGACGACGACAGAAUCCUCACCUUCCAAGCUUUCUUUUCCGACCAACAGAGGAUUUGAUGGUCGGACGAGAAAGAAUGAAGGAGAGAGAAAAUAGGUCUCUCCACAGCUUUCCGACGAGAUUCUAAAUGAUCUAAUCAUCAGAUCACCGACUCAAGAUUAUGUGCGAUGAAACCGUCGAGAUGGU